GAGGCAUAUACUCUUAUAUUAUGUCUAUGAGCACAAAACGUUGAUGAACUAUGGCUUUCAAAAAGUUUAAGACUUGAUCGUUGCUCUGUACUUGUAUUGUUAGAUAUGAACCAGGCGGGAGCUAGUUCUUUAUUGUUGUCAUAGCAAUUCCAUAGCAACUGUAAUGACAGAUACGAUACGGCUGUCAGCUACAAAGUUCCCGAAAAUGUGAUCUCACAUCAGAGCUAUUUAUCAGACUAGGUGGAAAUUAGCCACCUGGCUAUAAUCUCAUGUUUUUACAAAAAUAAAAAAGUCCUGCCUGGAGCACAUGCUGCUGGAAACAUCCUGCCGUCACUUCCAGCUGCUCAACUCUGAUGGAGGCUCCAGAUUCAAACUCACUAAUGAAUCUCCAAUCAAAAUCAGGAAAAACAACAUGAUCUUUCUUUCUUUUUUCUUUUUCCCUUUUCCCUUACAUUCAUUUCCAGAGUCUGUGCCAUAUAUCCAGUGCUUCUAUUAAUUCCCCGUUGCUCUGUAGCGCAAAGCCCUGAGUUUGCACAUCGAGUGUAUGUGUGAAAAUAGCGUCGGUGUCAGCACUCUGGGUGAGUGAGGCGGCCUGAAAACUCCUCACGCCAGCGGGUUCCAGAGCCGCUCAUUUGGGGCUUACCGCCACAAAAGGGGGGAUAACAGUCACACAGUUGCCACAGUGAGGAGGGGGUAAUCCAUGACAUAAUGGGGCACACCAGCAGAAAUCCACCACCACCACGUACCGGUCAUUUCUGCCCCUUCGCUCGGGUCGGACCCAGAGCGGUUCCUGCAGCAUCAUCUGAUGGAAGCGCCGAAGUGCUGUGCACGUUGAUAUCAAAGAGGGACAAUGAAAAGAGAUGCAGCGGUCCACAAGCCUCCAUGGCAACAGCAUCAUGAAAGAGAUGGUCCCCAUGGCGAUCAGAGGGAUACCUCACAAGCAGCAUGUAGAGAGGCGAAAACGGGCCUUUUGAAACGAUUAAAAAAAGGUUUUCGGGGAUUGAUCGUGUCUGGCACAGAAAUUCUGCAUAUUAGAGAAACAGAUGGUUUGAAAUCAAAGCACGAUGUUUGUUCUUGUUGUUCGCCUCACUUCUGCUCACUAAUUGGCUCCUUCUGCUAUUACUGGUUUGAAAGUCAUGCUGAGCGGCAGUUUCUAGGUGACCAAACACAGUUUGACCAAAAAAAAAA